AAAGUAGCUUGCUACUUUUGCCGGCGAGCGGCGGACGGGUGAGUAAUGCCUGGGGAUCUGCCCAGUCGAGGGGGAUAACUACUGGAAACGGUAGCUAAUACCGCAUACGCCCUACGGGGGAAAGCAGGGGACCUUCGGGCCUUGCGCGAUUGGAUGAACCCAGGUGGGAUUAGCUAGUUGGUGAGGUAAUGGCUCACCAAGGCGACGAUCCCUAGCUGGUCUGAGAGGAUGAUCAGCCACACUGGAACUGAGACACGGUCCAGACUCCUACGGGAGGCAGCAGUGGGG
rnacentral:rRNA from 1 species